rnacentral:rRNA from 1 species
UUUUGACCUCGGAUCAGGUAGGGAUACCCGCUGAACUUAAGCAUAUCAAUAAGCGGAGGAAAAGAAACCAACAGGGAUUGCCCUAGUAACGGCGAGUGAAGCGGCAACAGCUCAAAUUUGAAAUCUGGCUCUUUUAGAGUCCGAGUUGUAAUUUGCAGAGGGCGCUUUGGCUUUGGCAGCGGUCCAAGUUCCUUGGAACAGGACGUCACAGAGGGUGAGAAUCCCGUACGUGGUCGCUGGCUAUUGCCGUGUAAAGCCCCUUCGACGAGUCGAGUUGUUUGGGAAUGCAGCUCUAAAUGGGAGGUACAUUUCUUCUAAAGCUAAAUAUUGGCCAGAGACCGAUAGCGCACAAGUAGAGUGAUCGAAAGAUGAAAAGCACUUUGGAAAGAGAGUCAAACAGCACGUGAAAUUGUUGAAAGGGAAGCGCUUGCAGCCAGACUUGCUUGCAGUUGCUCAUCCGGGCUUUUUGCCCGGUGCACUCUUCUGUAGGCAGGCCAGCAUCAGUUUGGGCGGUAGGAUAAAGGUCUCUGUCACGUACCUCCUUUCGGGGAGGCCUUAUAGGGGAGGCGACAUACUACCAGCCUGGACUGAGGUCCGCGCAUCUGCUAGGAUGCUGGCGUAAUGGCUGUAA